rnacentral:rRNA from 1 species
GACGAACGCUGGCGGCGUGCUUAACACAUGCAAGUCGAACGGAAAGGCCCUGCUUUUGUGGGGUGCUCGAGUGGCGAACGGGUGAGUAACACGUGAGUAACCUGCCCUUGACUUUGGGAUAACUUCAGGAAACUUGGGCUAAUACCGGAUAGGAGCUCCUGCUGCAUGGUGGGGGUUGGAAAGUUUCGGCGGUUGGGGAUGGACUCGCGGCUUAUCAGCUUGUUGGUGGGGUAGUGGCUUACCAAGGCUGUGACGGGUAGCCGGCCUGAGAGGGUGACCGGCCACAUUGGGACUGAGAUACGGCCCAGACUCCUACGGGAGGCAGCAGUGGGGAAUAUUGCACAAUGGGCGGAAGCCUGAUGCAGCAACGCCGCGUGCGGGAUGACGGCCUGCGGGUUGUAAACCGCUUUCGCCUGUGACGAAGCGUGAGUGACGGUAAUGGGUAAAGAAGCACCGGCUAACUACGUG